rnacentral:rRNA from 1 species
UACGAAGGGGGCUAGCGUUGCUCGGAAUUACUGGGCGUAAAGCGCACGUAGGCGGCUCUUUAAGUCGGGGGUGAAAUCCUGGAGCUCAACUCCAGAACUGCCUUCGAUACUGAAGAGCUCGAGUCCGGGAGAGGUGAGUGGAACUGCGAGUGUAGAGGUGAAAUUCGUAGAUAUUCGCAAGAACACCAGUGGCGAAGGCGGCUCACUGGCCCGUA